AUUGAACGCUGGCGGCAUGCCUUACACAUGCAAGUCGAACGGUAACGGGUCUUCGGAUGCUGACGAGUGGCGAACGGGUGAGUAAUACAUCGGAACGUGCCUAGUAGUGGGGGAUAACUACUCGAAAGAGUGGCUAAUACCGCAUGAGAUCUACGGAUGAAAGCAGGGGAUCGCAAGACCUUGUGCUACUAGAGCGGCCGAUGGCAGAUUAGGUAGUUGGUGGGAUAAAAGCUUACCAAGCCGACGAUCUGUAGCUGGUCUGAGAGGACGAUCAGCCAAACUGGGACUGAGACACGGCCCAGACUCCUACGGGAGGCAGAAGUGGGGAAUUUUGGACAAUGGGCGAAAGCCUGAUCCAGCAAUGCCGCGUGCAGGAUGAAGGCCUUCGGGUUGUAAACUGCUUUUGUACGGAACGAAAAGCCCCGGGUUAAUACCCUGGGGUCAUGACGGUACCGUAAGAAUAAGCACCGGCUAACUACGUGCCAGCCGCCGCGGUAA
rnacentral:rRNA from 1 species